rnacentral:rRNA from 1 species
AAAUGGAUAACGUGCCCCGAACUCUGGGAUAGCGGCGGAACUUCGGUUCCUUUGCGAAAGUGCCGGUAAUACCAGAUGACCUCGUGUGAUCUCAUGAUUGUGCGAGCAAAGUUCAGGCGGUUUGGGAGCGGUCCAUUUCCUAUCAGCUUGUUGGUGGGGUAAAGGCCUACCAAGGCAACGACGGGUAUCGGGUGUGAGAGCACGACCCGACACAUCGGGACUGAGACACUGCCCGG